UCUAAGGGUUGACUAAAAUAAAAGUGAAACUACGCACUAUAGCCUAUUGUUGGUCUACUGGCACACCAGCCAACAGUUUGCUUCUUCUUUCGGUUUAUCCAACGUUUAGCCUACAACACAUUUGUAGAUGGAUUUUCUUUCAGAGCAUCACGUUCUUAUGGAAUAAUAUGAUGGCUGCAUAACUGAAGGACAGCAAUGUAACAAAGUAGUCCUGGUAACCUCCACCUCUACGUCUGCAGCAGAAAAAGGAAGAAGAAAGCGUGACGGCUGUCUGUCUGUAAGGGAACUAUGUCUGAAAGUAAGACGGAGGCAGACUGUGGAAAUUGUGGGAAUAUAUAUUCAGCAACAAAAUAUGAACACACAGUAAACAUUAGAUCUGAAGUCAGUACAUAUAAAGCGUUUCACAUCCAGUUUUUGUCCAGUCUGCAGUUAAUAACAUAAACUCAUAAACUGUCAAUAAAUACAUUAUAUCUUCUUUCAUCCUAAACAUUGCUUGACCAUAGUUAACCUACAAGACUUGAUAGUGAUAGAAGAAAACAUUAACUAAGACAUAAACUGAGCAAACGUGGCAUUUCAUGUACAGUUGUGUGUAAAUGUGUAAUGUAAAGUAGCACAUUGUCAUUGUGACCUCUGCUUGAUUACUUAAUGAUUAAUGUGUUAUUUAGCCAGCCAGUUAGCUACUCGGUCAAAGUAUUUUAAGUACAAACAUCAAAGCAAGAAAUCAAACAAACAUGUUUAGCCAUAGUGUUUUUAUGAAAACUAAAUUUUGCUUUAUGUUAGAAGUUAUGGUUUGAUGAUACAGAUACACUAGAUCACAAAGGCUCUUUAAUUAAAUAACAUGUAUCAUGUGCUGCUAUUAUCCAUAUGUUAAAAUAAAUCAAUACAUUUCUGUAGUAAA